rnacentral:rRNA from 1 species
AAUAUUGUACAAUGGGGGCAACCCUGAUCCAGCCAUCCCGCGUGUGUGAAUAAGGUCUUCGGAUUGUAAAGCACUUUAAGUUGGUAGGAAUGGCUUUAGGUUAAUACCCUGAAGUUUUGACGUUACCAACAUAAUAAUCACCGACUAACUCUGUUCCAACAGCCGCGGUAAUACAGAGCGUGCAAGCGUUAAUCGGAAUUACUGGGCGUAAAGCAGUCGUAGGUGGUUCAGUAAGAUGGGUGUGAAAUCCCCGGGCUUAAACUGGGAACUGCUUUCAUAACUGCUGAGCUAGAGUACGGUAGAGGGUAGUGGAAUUUCCUGUGUAGCGGUGAAAUGCGAAGAUAUAGGAAGGAACACCAGUGGCGAAGGCGACUACCUGGACUGAUACUGACACUGAGGUGCGAAAGCGUGGGGAGCAAA